GUCCUGGCUGUAAACGUUGGGUACUAAGUGUUGGCCGAUCGACCCGGUCAGUGCUGCAGCUAACGCGCUAAGUACCCCGCCUGGGGAGUACGGCCGCAAGGUUGAAACUCAAAGGAAUUGACGGGGGCCCGCACAAGCGGUGGAGCAUGUGGUUUAAUUCGACGCAACGCGAAGAACCUUACCCAGGCUUGACAUACAGGGGACAGUUCCAGAGAUGGAGCCUUCCUUCGGGACCCUUGUACAGGUGCUGCAUGGCUGUCGU
rnacentral:rRNA from 1 species